AGAACAGAGCCUGGCUCCACAUCUGGAAUGAUUUAAGGGUGACUGCCACUAAGGAAGGAUUUCUCUCUGGAGAUUGUUCCUCUUGGAGUUUUUUCUGUGAGCUUACAUGGGUCAACAUGAGGCACAGUGACAAAGGAGCAAGGAGGCUGUACUACAGCUACAUCUUGUGACAGUUUUACAUGGAGGAACUGAAGUCAAUCUGAUUGCUGACAGUGCAGAUCCCAGACAGUCAGAUCCCAGCGUAAUAGAAACUCAUUCUGUACUUUAGUAUACCCAGCAGAUGCAGAUUCACCUUUGGAACCAAAGUGGGAAGGGCCCUAUCAAGCGCUUUUGACCACUCAUACAGCGGCUAAGGUGGAAGGACUGAUCCCGUGGAUACACCAUACCUGCCUGAAGAAGAUCACUCACCUAGAUGAGUAACAUCUGUCUGCCACAGUUAAAGAGAUGCUGUGCCACGGGGAUUUGCCCCAAUUUGAGGCAAAGGUGCAAUUGCCUGGCAGUCUGGGCACAUUAAAAUAAUGUUGCAGGCUUGAUCCGCUCUCAGUUGGAAUUGCUUUUGUAAGGCUCUCCUAUUCUGAUGAAAAAAUUGAUGAGAGAGUUGAGCUUGCUGAAAUAAUUGAGAGGUAGCAAAGGUGACUGUGGCUUGAUCAGCCUUAUGUUUGCCCUCAGUUAAAGGAUCAGGCAAUGUAGUUUGUGAUUGAAUAUGCAUAAUGAA